GUCUGUGUGGAAAAAAUAUAUAGUCUGGCCUGCCCACUGAGUAAUUUGAAGGGCCGCGGUAUCUGGACCGUGCUAAGGUAGCAUAAUAAAUAGUCUUUUAAUUGAAGUCUAGUAUGAAUGGUCGGACAGGAAGUGUGCUGUUUGCAGCCACAGAGUAUAAAUUUUACUUUUAAGUGAGAAGGCUUAAAUUGUAUGGUGGGACGAUAAGACCCUAUAAAGCUUUACAUUUUGGUUGUUAGGAUUAAGAAAUUAAGGUGUUCCGUUUUUAUCAGUCAGGUGUUUCGUUGGGGCGACGAAAAUAUAAAUAGUAACUGUUUUUAUAAAAAAACAGAAGUUUCUGGGGGAUCUGAUCCUUUGUAAGGAUUAUAAGAAUAAAGUUACUUUAGGGAUAACAGCGUAAUUUUUCUUGAGAGUUCAUAUCGACAGAAGUAGUUGCGACCUCGAUGUUGAAUUAAGGUUUCCCCAAGGUGUAGCAGUUUUGGUGGUAGGUCUGUUCGACCUUUAAAGCCUUACAUGAUUUGAGUUCAGACCGGCGUG
rnacentral:rRNA from 1 species